UACGUAGGGCGCAAGCGUUGUCCGGAAUUAUUGGGCGUAAAGAGCUCGUAGGCGGCGCAGUAAGUUGGGUGUGAAAUCCCUCGGCUUAACCGAGGAAUUGCGCCCAAAACUACUGUGCUCGAGGGAGAUAGAGGUGAGCGGAACUUAGGGUGGAGCGGUGAAAUGCGUUGAUAUCCUAAGGAACACCGGUGGCGAAAGCGGCUCACUGGAUCUCUUCUGACGCUGAGGCACGAAAGCUAGGGUAGCAAACGGG
rnacentral:rRNA from 1 species